GACGAACGCUGGCGGCGUGCUUAACACAUGCAAGUCGAACGGAAAGGCCUGCUUUCCCUUGUGGAUUGCGGGUACUCGAGUGGCGAACGGGUGAGUAACACGUGAGUGAUCUGCCCCCAACUUGGGUAUAAGCCUGGGAAACUGGGUCUAAUUCCCGAUAGGACUGCAGGGUGGUGCCUGUUGUGGAAAACGAUUUUCUAGUGGUUGGGGAUGAGCUCUCGGCCUAUCAGCUUGUUGGUGGGGUAAUUGCCUACCGAGGCGGCGUCGGGUAGCCGGCCUGGGAGGGUGGACUGCCACAGUGGGACGGAGAUACGGCCCAGACUCCUGCGGGAGGCAGCAGUGGGGAAGAUUGCACAAUGAGAGGAAGCCAGAUGCAGCGACGCCGCGUGGGGGAUGACGGCGUUCGGGUUGUAAACUCCUUUCGACCGCGAGGAAGCCACAUGGUUGGAAGGGUGGUGACGGUAGUGGUAGAAGAAGCACCGGCUAACUACGUG
rnacentral:rRNA from 1 species